AUUAAUAAAGGAACUCGGCAAAAAAAUAGAGCAAAGACUGUUUAMCAAAAACAUAGCUUCUAGAACUAAUUAGAAGUAAAAUCCUGCCCGGUGAAAAAAAUUUUAAACGGCCACAAUCGUGCUAAGGUAGCGUAAUCAAUUGUCCUUUUACUGAGGACCAGUAUGAAAGGAAAAACGAAGCUCAACUGUCUCUAUUAAUAAAAUAAGAAAUUAGUUUCCAGGUGAAAAAACCUGGAUAAAAUUAAAGGACGAAAAGACCCUAUAGAGUUUAAAUAUAAUUAUAUUAAUACCUUUAAAAUAAAGCUAUAAUAUAAAUAUUUUAAUUGGGGCAACAUAGGAACAAAAAAUUUCCUAUAAAAAAUAUUUAACAUCUUAAAAACAAAAAUCCUCAAAGAGAUAAAGAAAAACUACCUUAGGGAUAACAGCGUAAUUUUUCUAAAGAGACCUAAUCGAAAGAAAAGUUUGCGACCUCGAUGUUGGACUAAGGCAACAUAAUGGUGAAGAAACUAUUAAAAGUGGGCCUGUUCGGCCCAAUAAGCCUUACAUGAU
rnacentral:rRNA from 1 species